rnacentral:misc_RNA from 1 species
GAUGAAGAACGUAGCGAAAUGCGAUAAGUAAUGUGAAUUGCAGAAUUCAGUGAAUCAUCGAAUCUUUGAACGCACCUUGCGCUCCUUGGUAUUCCGAGGAGCAUGCCUGUUUGAGUGUCAUUAAAUUCUCAACCAUUAUCAACUUUUGCUGAUAAUGGCUUGGAUGUGGGGGUCUAUUUUGCUGGCUUCUCAGAUAGUCAGCUCCCCUUAAAUGCAUUAGCCGGUGCCCCGCGUGGACUGUCUAUUGGUGUGAUAAUUAUCUACGCUAUAGACAUCUGCAAUCAUAUGGGUUUCCGCUGCUUCUAACAGUCUGUUGAUUCAGACAAUACAUGACAAUUUGACCUCAAAUCAGGUAGGACUACCCGCUGAACUUAAGCAUAUCAAUAAGCGGAGGA